rnacentral:rRNA from 1 species
GUGAGGAAUAUUGGUCAAUGGACGGAAGUCUGAACCAGCCAUGCCGCGUGCAGGAAUAAGGUCCUAUGGAUUGUAAACUGCUUUUAUUCGGGAAUAAACCUCUUUACGUGUAGGGAGCUGAAGGUACCGAAGGAAUAAGCACCGGCUAACUCCGUGCCAGCAGCCACGGUAAUACGGAGGGUGCAAGCGUUAUCCGGAAUCAUUGGGUUUAAAGGGUCCGCAGGCGGGCUAUCAAGUCAGAGGUGAAAUCCCACAGCUUAACUGUGGAACUGACUUUGAAACUGAUGGUCUUGAAUUAAGUGGACGUUGGCGGAAUAUGACAUGUAGCGGUGAAAUGCAUAGAUAUGUCAUGGAACACCGAAAGCGAAGGCAGCUAACGAUACUUAUAUUGACGCUCAUGGACGAAAGCGUGGGUAGCGAACAGGAUUAGAAACCCCAGUAGUCC